rnacentral:tRNA from 1 species
GAUAAUAACUCAGUCAGUAGAGUGCUUGCCUCACAUGCACGAGGCCCUGGGUUCAAUCCCUAGCACCA